rnacentral:rRNA from 1 species
UACGGAGGGUGCAAGCGUUAUCCGGAUUCACUGGGUUUAAAGGGUGCGUAGGUGGGUCUGUAAGUCAGUGGUGAAAUCCCCGAGCUUAACUUGGGAACUGCCGUUGAUACUAUAGAUCUCGAAUAUCGUGGAGGUAAGCGGAAUAUGUCAUGUAGCGGUGAAAUGCUUAGAUAUGACAUAGAACACCAAUUGCGAAGGCAGCUUACUACACGAUCAUUGACACUGAGGCACGAAAGCGUGGGGAGCAAACAGG